rnacentral:tRNA from 1 species
GGAGCGGUAGUUCAGUUGGUUAGAAUACCGGCCUGUCACGCCGGGGGUCGCGGGUUCGAGCCCCGUCCGCUCCGCAA